rnacentral:rRNA from 1 species
AAAGCGAGCGGCGGAUGGGUGAGUAACACGUGGGGAACCUGCCCCUAAGUCUGGGAUACCAUUUGGAAACAGGUGCUAAUACCGGAUAAUAAAGCAGAUCGCAUGAUCAGCUUUUGAAAGGCGGCGUAAGCUGUCGCUAAGGGAUGGCCCCGCGGUGCAUUAGCUAGUUGGUAAGGUAACGGCUUACCAAGGCGACGAUGCAUAGCCGAGUUGAGAGACUGAUCGGCCACAUUGGGACUGAGACACGGCCCAAACUCCUACGGGAGGCAGCAGUAGGGAAUCUUCCACAAUGGACGCAAGUCUGAUGGAGCAACGCCGCGUGAGUGAAGAAGGUUUUCGGAUCGUAAAGCUCUGUUGUUGGUGAAGAAGGAUAGAGGUAGUAACUGGCCUUUAUUUGACGGUAAUCAACCAGAAAGUCACGGCUAACUACGUGCCAGCAGCCGCGGUAAUACGUAGGUGGCAAGCGUUGUCCGGAUUUAUUGGGCGUAAAGCGAGCGCAGGCGGAAAAAUAAGUCUAAUGUGAAAGCCCUCGGCUUAACCGAGGAACUGCAUCGGAAACUGUUUUUCUUGAGUGCAGAAGAGGAGAGUGGAACUCCAUGUGUAGCGGUGGAAUGCGUAGAUAUAUGGAAGAACACCAGUGGCGAAGGCGGCUCUCUGGUCUGCAACUGACGCUGAGGCUCGAAAGCAUGGGUAGCGAACAGGAUUAGAUACCCUGGUAGUCCAUGCCGUAAACGAUGAGUGCUAAGUGUUGGGAGGUUUCCGCCUCUCACUGCUGCAGCUAACGCAUUAAGCACUCCGCC